GUACCAUGGUCGAUGAAUGCUUGCAGAGCUUGAUCGGGCAUAGUUGACACCUAAUCAACAAGAUUUGUGACAAACACAUUAACAUUUGGUGACCAUCUAAGCAGUUAAUAUCGCCGAUAUAUCACCGAUGAGAUAUCAGAGAUAAAUCGUCACCUCUACAGCAAGGUGGACCACCUUACACAACAUAUGGUUCACACUACUCACCGUGUCUGGCCCAACAAGUGGGGCCACAUAUAGGGUGUCGGGAUAGGCCGGGUUCUUAACACUGGUUGAGGCCCAUAGCAACCGUUGCUUCUUAGCUCCUUUCUUCACAAGGGCCUCCCAUCGUGGGCCCGAGAAUUUCUUUUGGUAAAGUUGGAAGGCUAGAGCCGCUUGAGCAUUUGCAGCCUGUAAAUUUAACCAUGUGGUGAAAAAAAGAUUUCGAAGGUAAAUUUUCAGUUCAUUACUUUAAUGAUUGGCUUUUUACCUUUCCUCGAAGAUUGAGGGCCUCUGGGGUUCCGAUUUUUUCAAGCAUUUUGUCGACAAGUGUGUCUACUCGACUAACAAA